AGACAUAAUUUCAUAAUUAACAUGACUUUAAGGAUAUUCGAGAGGAACUCCUUUAAAGGGUUGUUAGAUUUUUAGCCUCUUCGAUAUGACGAACCUGUGUAUGUGUUAUCUGAACAUAUUUAGGUACCUAUUUGUUAGCAGCAUAACAGAUUUUACUGCCCCACUCUCUGCACAAGUUAUUGUCGAAUGUCAAUACACUCUGAAAGUCACAACAACUUCAAUAAAACGCCGGGAUUAUAUGCUGCCUAGGUUGAUAAAUAUCACUUCAGAUAACUUAUCACAAAGAUAAUGCUUAGCGAAGUAACAUGUUUUCACAAUAACAUCCCACGCAGCGGGAGAUCCAACGAACCACUAUAUUAUUAGUUCAGAAAUUAACAAUUUUAAUUACUUAUUAUUUUUGUGAAAAUUUAUAACCUGUGCUGUGUACGUUUUUAAUUACGUUAAUCAAGAUUACAGUUUUGAAUUACGUACAUAAUAAAUUAAAGUUGAAUUAAAUAAUUUUAAUACGCAGCGAUGGCGCCUCGGCAGGACAUCGUAGCCCAGCCACAGCCGAUCAGAAUAGAGCAGGGGAGGCAGCCCCCGCCGCCUCCGGCUCCCGGUCGCCUCCAGCGACCCCCGCACGACAACCCCACCGUCUAUAUAAACAGGCCCACGAAUAUACCUCGCAACAAUGUCAACACCAGUGAAAUCGCUCGCACGUAGGAAAAUAUACUCAAUGACAACAAAAUUGUAUUUUCAGGCUAGACGGGACAUUCACGAACUUUUUUUCUAUUUUCAUUAAGAAUUUUCAUGGCUAAAAGGCUCUUAUCUCACUUCAAUUAAAACUAAACUUUCAUUGCGUUCAUAAAUAAUUUUAUUGAAAGGAAAAUAAAUUGUUUCUGGAUCGUCGACCGUCGUCGUUAACGUUUUGAUAGAAAAUCUACCGUUUUAACGCAAUCUUAAUAAAUUAUUUUUUUAGUUCACUGCAUGCACUGUAUCUAGUUCUCUAGGUUUUCUUCUAUAAAGUAAGCACUUUGUUUCUAGUGACGCGAUUUAAGUGCAUUGGACAUUUUAUUCUAUUUCCCAAUUUGUUCUUUUAGAACAAAAUGAGAAACGAACUCUGUAAAAAAAAAAUCUAAAAGCUAUACCUAUACGUAUUUCCUUCUUAAAUUAAGUAGAUAAUUUCUAGUUACACUUCUCAGAGUCAGCAUUUUAGAUAAUUAAAUCUUAUUAAAAAACAAACAAUUGCAAAAAACCUUCUUUCUGAAUAUUUUUUUUCUAAACCACUCUAACAAAUUUUGCCAAAUGGGCCGACCAUUUCGCAAAAUUAGUUAUAACUUUCAAUUUUCAAAAAUCUAACCGAUAAAUAGAUACUUAGUGUUCAUUUUACCAAUAUGUAAUCGUGAUCGGUGAUCGUAACCACUAAUUUGAAAGUAGGUAAUAUAAUAUUGUAUUUAAAUACUUACCUUAUAUUUAUAAUGUAGUUUUUAAUUAUUUUAAGAUAAAUAAGACCUAGUUACUGUAUAUAUUAGAAAUAGGUAAUAUAAUAAUAUCUGAAUAAAUUAUGGUUGUAAUUUAAAUUGGAUUUUAAUGCGUAGGUAUUAAUGAUUUAUGUAUAAUGGAAAGAUAAUGCAAAUUAUACAAUUAUGUACUCAGUUUUGGUUUGGAAAGCAAAAAUCACAAUUGCGCCAAUAUUGCGCCUGAUAUUAGUUUUGGCGGCUCGGGCUAUUUCCAACAGCGAAGGUCGAUUAGAGGGGAUCAAGAUAACUUCUUCGUCCUUUGCAGCACGCACUCUUGCAAUGACGUAAAUUAUAGGCAUUUUUCUUUUUCAACACUACAAACGCAGAUUGAAUUGGACAACAAAUAUUUUUCUUGCCUUUACAUAAGACAAACCCAGACUCUUUCAGAUGACCAUGUUUUCUCUUUAAUUUUCGUUAAAAUUCAAUGUUUGCCUGUGUGUGUUAUGUCUUGCAUGUAGUAGUGUAAGUCAUAAGUACUUAAAUAAAAGAAAUUGGUGUUUCAAUCAAUCAACUUAAUUUUAAUAAAGUCUGUAAUUCAGUAACAA
rnacentral:lncRNA from 1 species